AACCUACUCCCUCCGUCCGGAAAAACUGGUCUCUCAAAUGGAUGUAUCUAGCACUAACUUGGUGCUAGAUACAUCCAUUUUAGAGACAAGCUUUUUCGAACAGAAGGAGUAUAUA
rnacentral:pre_miRNA from 1 species